rnacentral:lncRNA from 1 species
AUGCCUCCGGUCUCCUCCCUGCUGCAGCAGCACCUGCAGCAGCAGCACCUGCAGCAGCAGCAGCAGCGGCCCUUAUCAGGCCCCCUCCUCCCUGUCCCUUCCCUCUCCUACCCCUUUCCCUUCCCGUUCCCUCCUCCACCCCUUCCCCAUCCCCUCCCUCCUCCCUCCUCCACCGCGCAGACCGCCCAGCUCAGCAAGUCCUGCGGCAAAGGCACUUCGGCGCCCAGUUGUUGCCCGGGCGCAGCGCCGACUCGGCCAGGGGACGGACGCCCCUGCUCAACCGCAGCCUGUCGCCCUCACCUCCGGCCGGGCCUCUCCUGCCUGGUGGCGCCCGGGGCCUCACAUCCUCGCCCCAGCCUUGCUGAGAAUGCCUCCCAGGAGCUGAGGGCCACUUGCUGGGAAGCCCCUGCUCCUCGGCCUUUUGGGGGAGGCAGUGGAGGGGCUUCUGGAAGACAAGGAUGGGAAUCUCUGUGUCACUAAGGCCACGUGAGUGAAAGCAUGUAAACCUUCCACACGGCGAGUGGCUGAGCAGCUCCCUUGUCUCUGAGACCCCCAGGCACUCGAUCAGCUGGCGGUUUAACAGUAGACAAAGGCACAGAGGGGCCGUUCCUGACUCGGAUAGAGAAAUAGAACAGGAUGACACUGUGCAAGGGGGCUGUGUGCACGUCUAGAUGGGCCGCGGUCUGGGGUGAAUCACCCAGCGUCCUCAACGCUCAUCGCGGGCCCUCCUGUCUUCUCGUGGGAAACGACCGCACCAACAGCUUCAACCCCACCUCUCGGUAGAUGACUCACAAACACGUGUCUUCAGCCCAGACCCCUCCUCUGGGGGCCGCCCGCUCAUCCGUCUCCCAUUUGCAUCUCUCCUUCGAUGCCUCCCGGGUCCCUCCACACGUGCUCUUACCCACCUGCCUCACCUGGUGACUCCAGGGUUUUCCGUCCCAGUGAGUGACAGACAUCCCCAUGCAGCCGGAAGCACAGAGGCCUAGAGUGACCAUGAACACCUCUCUUUCCCUUCGUAUCCAGCCCAACACUAAAGCCAGUCACUUUCCUCUCUCUUGAAACCCUCUCCUCUCUCCAUCUCCAGCACCUGUUCCAGUCACUUUUGUCUCUUCCCUGGACUGUGCUUAAGCUGCUCACGGCUGGAGUGCACUUCCCUGCACUCCGCUGCUUAAUUUCUGCCCAGUCUCCAAGCCUCAGUUCAAGUGCCACUUCCUCCAGGAAGCCGUCCUUGAUCUCCCUGAGAAGUGCCUCUGUCGUAGUCCUAUCACACCACCCCACACUCCUCCCCAGCACUGACUGUAGCAUAGAUCUGACGUGUGCGCUUGUCUGUGUUUGUGGUCAUGUGGUCCCCCUAAGACUGAACACCUCCUGAGGGAUGGGCUUGUCUGUUUCCGCUCAUUGUUGACUCCCCGAUGCCAAGAACAGCGCUGACACGUGGAGUGGGCAAUCAACAGAAGGUUGUUGGAUGGAUGAACUGACA